AUCACCAAAUGCAUUUGCUUUUCGGCAGCCUAACCCAUAAGAACUCCAUAGUUAAGCGUGCUUAACUUGGAGAAAUUCUGGGAUGGGUGACCUUCUGGGAAGUUUUCCCGGAAAGCGUUGUGGUGAUC
rnacentral:rRNA from 1 species